GAUACCUGUGGUNAUUCUAGAGCUAAUACAUGCAUACAUGCCUANNUUCUUGGAAGGGCAGUAUUUAUUAGAUACAGAACCANUNCCGCAAGGGUCUUUUGGUGAUUCAUAAUAAAUGAACGGAGCGUAAGGCAUGCGCCGACGCUGAAUCAUUCAAGUUUCUGACCUAUCAGCUUUCGACGGUAGGGUAUUGGCCUACCGUGGCAUUGACGGGUGACGGAGAAUUAGGGUUCGAUUCCGGAGAGGGAGCCCGAGAAACGGCUACCACAUCUAAGGAAGGCAGCAGGCGCGCAAAUUACCCAAUCCUGACUCAGGGAGGUAGUGACAAGAAGUAACAAGGCGAUCCUCUUACGAGGUAUUGCUAUUGGAAUGAGUAGAAUUUAAAUCUCUCUACGACUAUCAAUUGGAGGGCAAGCCUGGUGCCAGCAGCCGCGGUAAUUCCAGCUCCAAUAGCGUAUAUUAAAGUUGUUGCGGUUAAAAAGCUCGUAGUUGGAUUUCUGUUGAGAGUGGCCAGUCCGCACUUAGUGCGAGUAUUUGGUUCAGUCUCGGCAUCCUCCAGGGGAGCGUACUGUACUUGAUUGUAUGGUGCGCAAUUCUGGACUUUUACUUUGAGGAAAUUAGAGUGUUCACGGCAGGCAUUUGCCUUGAAUAUGUUAGCAUGGAAUAAUAAUAUAAGACCUUGGUCUUAUUUUGUUGGUUUCUAGGAGCAGGGUAAUGAUUAAUAGGGAUAAUUGGGGGUAUUCGAAUUAAGGCGUCAGAGGUGGAAUUCUUGGAUUGCCUUACGACGAACUACUGCGAAAGCAUUUACCAAGGAUGUUUUCAUUGAUCAAGAACGAAAGUCAGGGGAUCGAAGACGAUUAGAUACCGUCGUAGUCUUGACCAUAAACUAUGCC
rnacentral:rRNA from 1 species